rnacentral:rRNA from 1 species
AUGCACGCUGGCGGCGUGCUUCACCCCUGCCAGUCGCACGAAGCAUUUAGGACAGAUUACUUCGGUUUGAAGUUCUUUAUGACUGAGUGGCGGACGGGUGAGUAACGCGUGGGUAACCUGCCUUGUACUGGGGGAUAGCAGCUGGAAACGGCUGGUAAUACCGCAUAAGCGCACAAUGUUGCAUGACAUGGUGUGAAAAACUCCGGUGGUAUAAGAUGGACCCGCGUCUGAUUAGCUAGUUGGUGAGAUAACAGCCCACCAAGGCGACGAUCAGUAGCCGACCUGAGAGGGUGACCGGCCACAUUGGGACUGAGACACGGCCCAGACUCCUACGGGAGGCAGCAGUGGGGAAUAUUGCACAAUGGAGGAAACUCUGAUGCAGCGACGCCGCGUGAGUGAAGAAGUAAUUCGUUAUGUAAAGCUCUAUCAGCAGGGAAGAUAGUGACGGUACCUGACUAAGAAGCGCCGGCUAAAUACGUG